UGGGCACGGACUUGCGGAUGGCUGUGAUGCAACAGGUUGUCUGUCGUCCUGCUCUUUCUUUGAGGGCCAGCGGCCCAGAGGAGGACGUCGUCUGAGCGUGGAAACCUCCUGUCCUCUGCUGCUCAGCUGGAGAGAUGCUCCGCUAGGUAUGAGGACAUCAAUACAAAGAUAAGUAAUUAAAAUAACACCAGCUGGGCGGCAGAUUUCGCAUCAGCUGGUGGCAACUGUAUUGGUGAAGUUGCGGGCAUGGCGCAGCAGGCAGAAAGUGGCAGUUCCUUGUGUCACCCAGACACUAACGAGAUGUUAUCUGGCAGUUCCCUAUGUCAUCCAGACACUAAUGAGAGGUAAAGUACAGGGAGACGAUGGAAGGAGCUUCGUCUUCUGCUAGGCCCGGACAGAGGAGAGCAGGAUGGUGAGCAGAGGCUGAGCCCAUGCACUCUAUGUGGAGAAGGUCUGUGUAUGCUGCCAUGGAGGAGCCUACAGCACAGCAGUGGAUGAGGCCUGGCGGAGGAGCAGCCCCUAUAUACCCCUAUAGGAGCAGCCCUGGGCCAGAGCUGCAGCACAUGGAGAGGAGCCUGCAGUGGGGCAGGAGGGCUGGGGGAGCUGCUGCCUGUGGGGCUGUGCUGGAGCAGUGCCUGAAGGCUGGGCCCAUGGGAUGGAGACAUGCUGGAGCAAUGCUGAGAGAGCUACAGCCUGUGGGAAUCCCACAAGGGAUCAGAUGGGGAAGGACGGCAUCGCAUGUGAAUCAUAACAUGGCUAGCUUACCAGUGCUAAGCCACAAAGAUCACUGUGUGACCUUCAUGUUUCUUGAGAAAAGCUUUGGAACUAAAGUCACUGUCACUGUUGAA